UACAGAGGGUGCAAGCGUUAAUCGGAAUUACUGGGCGUAAAGCGUGCGUAGACGGUUAUGUAAGUCGGGUGUGAAAGCCCCGGGCUCAACCUGGGAAUGCCAUUCGAGACUGCAUAGCUAGGGUGCGGAAGAGGGAAGCGGAAUUUCCGGUGUAGCGGUGAAAUGCGUAGAUAUCGGAAGGAACACCAGUGGCGAAAGCGGCUUCCUGGUCCAGCACCGACGUUCAGGCACG
rnacentral:rRNA from 1 species